GCCAGGAGCUGUGGUGCUUGCCUGUAAUCCCAGUUGCUUAGGAGGCUGAGAUGGGAGGAUUGUGAGUUCAGAGCAAAAGUGAGGUGCUGAGCAACUCAGUGAGACCCUGUCUCUA
rnacentral:sRNA from 1 species